rnacentral:rRNA from 1 species
GGACAGAAAGACCCUAUGAAGCUUUACUGUAGUUUGGAAUUGGGUUCGGGCUCUUCUUGCGCAGCCUAGGUGGGAGGCUAUGAAGAUAAACUUUUGGGUUUAUUGGAGCCAACAGUGAGAGACCACUCUAGAGGAGCUAGAAUUCUAAUGGCGUUCCUUGAAGCAGGACGCUUGACAGUUUCAGAUGGGCAGUUUGACUGGGGCGGUCACCUCCUAAAAGGUAACGGAGGUGUGCAAAGGUUCCCUCAGGCUGGACGGAAAUCAGCCGUAGAGUGUAAAGGCAGAAGGGAGCUUGACUGCAAGACCUACAAGUCGAGCAGGGGCGAAAGCCGGCCUUAGUGAUCCGACGGUUCCGAGUGGAAGGGCCGUCGCUAAAUGGAUAAAAGUUACUCUAGGGAUAACAGGCUGA